rnacentral:rRNA from 1 species
UACGAAGGGGGCUAGCGUUGUUCGGAAUCACUGGGCGUAAAGCGUACGUAGGCGGACCAUUAAGUCGGGGGUGAAAUCCCAGGGCUCAACCCUGGAACUGCCUUCGAUACUGGUGGUCUGGAGUCCGGCAGAGGUGAGUGGAACUCCUAGUGUAGAGGUGAAAUUCGUAGAUAUUAGGAAGAACACCAGUGGCGAAGGCGGCUCGCUGGCCCGGUACUGACGCUGAGGUACGAAAGCGUGGGGAGCAAACAGG